rnacentral:tRNA from 1 species
AGGGACGUAGUUCAACGGUUAGGACGAUUGGCUUUGAACCAAUAGAAUUCAGUUCGACUCUGAACGUCUCUG